GAAGAAGACAACUUCCUUUUCCUACUUAGGUCCCUUAACUAAAUUGAAUUAAACAAAGACAUUUUGAGUCACAAUCAAAUUCAGAUGGAGAAAAUUGGAGGCAGACUAGGGCCACCCAUGAGUUGCUUAGAUAGCCUUUAAUGUUCAAAGCCUACAGUGUUUUAAACUAGGGAAUUCUUUUGUCUCGUCUUGUGUUGAGACAAUGUGGAUGUUUAGCCCAGGCUGGUCGGAGACACAGAUCUAUCCACUUCAGCCUCCCCAGUGCAGAAAUUGCAUUCAUACGACACCAUGCCAGGAUAAAAUGAUUCAUUUCCACACUUUUAUGAAUGGGAUACAUUAUGCAACUGAUAGAAGCCCUGUGUGAGAAAAUCCCAAACAGGGUGUCCUUUAACAGUUCCUUAGACUCCUGCUGAGUGAAAAUGGUACUCUAGAAAGUGUGAACUACCAAUGAAGCCUAGUGGAUAUUCUGGAACUGAGGCAACGCUGGUCUGCUAGCCAUUGCAUGGAAGAGAACGAGACAAAGAGUAACUAAUUGAGCUGCCAGUACCAAGAGAAGUAGAGUUGCGUGUAUGUGCUGUAUAUGCUGGUGAGAGCCACGGGCUUGAAUGAUUUGCCACCUGUCCUUCCUGAGCAGUUUAUUUUGGGGUGCUUUUAACCUCAGAGACAGAUGUGGAUGGGGAAAGGACCCAAUUUCUGGGACCUGGAGGCUCCUGGCAGCCUUUUGAGCAAGUCAGAGACAGGCAUUUCACCUCAGUUUGUUUCCUUCACGUGGGAGGUGAGAGACAGUGAACUCUUCAGCCUCACUCAGAUUCUGUCAUGGCUUUAACCCAAGGAGAAAGCAUGGUGUUCGCAUGAAGACAAUUAUUUGAAAAGUGUGUUAUGAUCAUGAUCAAUAUUAUAUUACUGAAAGGUAUCAUUACGGAAUGAAUAUUAACCCACUUCCCAGGUAGGGGACCAUGAUUGCCAGUCCAAAAUGUCAUUCCCAGAGAGAAACUAAUAUCCUGAUUCUGGUUCUAAAGCUAGGUAUGUCUUAUCUUUCUAAAAAUGAAACUAAUCUUUGAGCUCUGCCAUCUCCCAAUCACAGCCAAGACAAUGAUACAGGUCUAGUUGUCCUGGACAUUGAUGGCUGAACAAUGUCUUCUGCCCAGUUUUCCAGAUCACACCCACACCCACCCCCACCCCCCAGCAGUCACAGUAUGUUCUAAGAAUUUAGAACCAAACCAUCUGCAUCCUGAGAUGCCUCCUUCCUUUAUUUUCAUGUUCUUUGGCUUCUUCUCUAAACUAAGAAUCUGAGUCCUUCCAAUGCAUGCUUCAAGUGCCAGCUGGGUAGCUGGCUCAAUGCACCAUGAUCAUUACAUUACUAAUCUCUAUGCUGGCUGGAGUCUAGGUCAUUUGUAUAUGCUUAUCAUGACCCUUUAAAGAGAUAAGAGCUUAGUUGUUUCUGUUUGAGAGGAGAAAGGAAGGAGGUGACAAGGAGGAACAAAGUGUUCAGUGACUUAGUGGCCUUGCAUGGUUCCAGCAAAAAGUCAGUUUCAUGCAUGCUAGAAUUGUACUCCGUGCCUGCUGAAGUUAGCAAGGCUCGAUCUUCUUCUUUAGCAAAUUCCUCUGGGUAUACUGUUUGCCUGCAUCAUGUGGAGAACAAAUUUUCAUCAGGACCCAACUUGUGUAGUGACUGCAAAAAAGUAGGCAAUACAGAAACAUGCCCCACAGAAUCAACAAGCCAGGACUCACAGAGACUGUAUAGAUAUGACCUAGAUCCACAGCUUGUGUAUUAUAGUUGUAUAGAUUGGCUUUGUUGUGGAACUACAAACAGUGGGAGUGGGACUGUCUCUAACUCUUUGUCUCAUCUUUGGAUCCUUUUCCUCCUAUUGGGCUGCCUCAUCAGCCUUGAUAUGAGGAUAAGUUCCUAAUCUUAUUGCAACUUGAUAUGCAAUGUUUGGUUGAUAUAGCUGGGAGGCCUGCUCUCUUUUUGAAGAGAAAAUGAAGUAGAAGCCUGUCUGGGGGAAGAUGGAAGAAGGGACUUAGAGGAGGAGAGGGAGGAGAAACUGCACUUGAGAGGUAAUAUAUGAAAGAAGAAAGAAAAUAGCAGGUGGUGUGUAUAGAUUCUUGAGGUGAGGGGGAGGAAACUAAGGCAUCUGGAAAUGACUGCACUCAGCAGCCUGAUGAGAGUGACACAUUUGCCUCUCCACUCACCCGCCAGGAAACUCAGAACAUGGCUCAGACCUUAUGGCUAUUCCCCAUCAGAAAUGUUAGGAAGCAGAAAGAAAGGGGAGAGCUUGAAGACCUGGUGGGAGCUCCAGACUGGAAGAGAUGGAGGCAGCAACCUUACUGCCCAAACUGAAAACAUUGGAAAGGGUACCAAAGACGUGUAGUUGUUAGAUUUUAGGGUGCCAAAAAAAGUUCACUGAGCUCUGCCAACCCAGCUGUCCACAGAAGCUUUGGUUUUCUUAAGAAAUGAAAACUGCAAACAUCAAAUUUCCUUGCCUCUUCUCCUCCCUAAGGCUUGCCCUUUAGUGUCAGCAAGCCUGGUCUGGGGUCCCUAUGAGGCUUCACUGUGCUGCUGGUAGGCUUUUCUGGGAGAGCACAACUUCUUUAGGGGUGGGUUUCGCACAGAAAAGCUGCUUGUUGUGCUUAGAAGAGGAAAUAGAAAUAAAUAGGAUUUCCCGCCCAAGAGAGAACGUUCUUGACGGAUUGAAAUCACAUUGUUGGCAGGUCUAAUCCUGAGUCUUUUUAUUACCUUGUGUUUUGUUACACAAGGUCCAGAUUCCCUCUGUAUCUUUAGGUGCUUUAGCUAAAUCAUGUGUGAUUGUCAAGCCUAAGGUGUUUCAUGAGCCAAGAGAAAGGGAUUCUAAAAAUAUAGCACAUCUGAAAUUAACUUGAUGGUUGUCCCUGAUUUUGUCCGGCAUCCAGGCAAACUUCUUUCUCUAGCUCACUGGCUUUGUCUCAUUUCCCAAAGCAAGGAUGAGAAACACCCUUUCAUGUUGCUUGGGCCAUUCAGAUGGUGAGGCCAAUAUGCAAAUGGGCACAUGUACCAGCGACCUGAACCAUAUCAGAGAGGCUAAUGGAGUUGACAUGUACUGUGAUCCUUUGUCAAAGACCCUUCCAGUCUUUUCAAUUAACUUCCAUUUGUUUUUAAUAGGAGUUGUGAUGAUAGGGGGACUAUACAUGUGUUCUCAUGGUGCAGAAACUGCAGAUAAUAACACUUGACUCAUUACCGAACAUUGUCAAAUGCAUUAUUAUAGUUGAUCCUCUUGAUAAUGCUUUGUGGUAUGGAUUAUUAUCCCAGUUUUAUUGAAGAGGGCUGUGAAGACCUCCACUCUGAAAGGUUAAAUGGAUUUCAUGAUCUCCUGCAGUGUUCAGGUGAUACAGCUGGGACCACAAUCCCAUCCGACCCCACUCUACUGUAGGAGCUAGCCCAGUGCUGGCACUGUGAAAUUUUAAAUUUCAAUCUGAAUGGCCUUGUAAUGUUUUCAUAUUUUGUUGUCACUGGCUGUCCAACCUAAAAUACUUUGGCCAUCUUGUCCACUUUUUAAAUUCUUUUGUGAUGGUCUUUGCAAAAUAAAUGAGGAAUGAUAGUGACAGCCAUUGUAAUCGCCAACAUCUAUGAAUGCUUCUUAAGCAUUAGAGACUUGCUGUACAUUUUAUUCAUAUUGUUUUCUUUAAUGUUUGCAAUAAUCUUUUGAUUAAGUGUGCCUCCUCUAUAUAUAUCUUAUUCACAAAAGUCAUCACUGAGCUUGCAGAUUUUCAGUAUCAGAGCCAAGAUUUUCCAUUGAUGUGGUCCGAUCAGCUACCUAUUGUCUGGUAUUGAUCAGAUUUGCUCUAGGUGCUCUUGGACAUACCCUGACAAUCAUUUUAAAUGAGAUAGUUCUGAUGGGACCUCUAUGAUACGCCAAUAUUCCUAGUCAACAACCUGCAAAUUCUCUUUCCAUAUUUAUUAUAAAACUGGAUUACAAAUAAGUUACAGAUAGUCAGAUUUUCAUCUACUUUUUUCUGCAUAUUUGUAUCUGUUUCAUAUCUUGCUUCAGUGGCAUCUUGCUACCAGUGAAACUUCAGUUCAAUACAAGGAACUAGUGAUUUCUCUAGCAAUAACUUUUUAGGAGAUGUAAGUGGGGUCUCUUUAUAGAAGGUUCUGUCUUAUAGAAAUCACAUAACAUUAGUCCUCAAUAAGUUUGUGCCACUAACAGUGAAAUAAAUCAGCCAGAGGCUCAGGAGACAAUAUGAAACUGCAGUCUCCAUGCCUUUUUAUACUGGUGUGGAUAUGCUAUGUGAAUGCACAAAUACAUGCAUGUGUGUGCAUGCUUGUGUGCAUAAGAGCGUGCUUGUAUUCCAUUGCAUGGGUGUACAUGACAGUGGGCAUUCUCAGGUAUCGGCACUCACCUUCUCCUCUGAUAGGGACAAGGUCUCUUCUUUGUGGCUGAAAUCACCAGGCUAGCUGGCUUGUGAGCUUCUAGGGAUUCACAUAUUACACUACAGUAAGGAGCUUUACAUAGGAUCUUGGGAUUCGAGCUCAGGUCCUCAGGUUUGUACAAGUGUUCUACUCACUGAGCUGUCUCCCCAGUCCUUGUUUCCUUCUUUAUUGCUAGGAAACCACAUCCAGAGCAAUUGUCAGUGCUUCCUUAGUCCCAACCCAUUAAUAAUCCCAUCCCAUGGCAACUCUAACCUAAAAAGGUUCGUCAAGAUUCUUUAUUUUGCAAGUACAUUGGCCUCAGAGUACAGUCAGCAGAGACAACUUGUACAUUUAGAUAUGGCUUAGCCCUCUUUUCAAACGAAGGCCCAGAGAGUUCAGCCAGUGUUUUAAGAGUUAGUCCAAGGAGAUGGAAAUCAUUGCUAAUUAAAGCUAUUUUCAUUUGCUGAAAGAAGCUAGUGAGAGCAUUGGGACACAGUGGUGCAUUCCUGUAAUCUCAGCACCCAGGAGACUGGGGCAGGUGGAAAGUGUGUUCCAGGACAGACUGAGAUGUAAUGGCAAGAUCCUGUCCAAAAGAGCUAAAAACAGUGACUGAAGAGGUGGCUCAGUGGUUAAGAAUGCUUCCUUUUUUCCCAGAGGACCUGAGUUUGCUUCCCUGCAUCCAUGUCUGAUGGGUCAUAAUUAUCUAGGAUUACACCUAGAUCUGACACACU
rnacentral:lncRNA from 1 species